AUCCAGCUGACGCGAGUCCCAAAUAAGACGAAAUGCGCAUCCUGGAU
rfam:Trichobilharzia regenti genome assembly, scaffold: TRE_scaffold0009861